rnacentral:rRNA from 1 species
UAGGGAAUCUUCGGCAAUGGGGGCAACCCUGACCGAGCAACGCCGCGUGAGUGAAGAAGGUUUUCGGAUCGUAAAGCUCUGUUGUAAGUCAAGAACGAGUGUGAGAGUGGAAAGUUCACACUGUGACGGUAGCUUACCAGAAAGGGACGGCUAACUACGUGCCAGCAGCCGCGGUAAUACGUAGGUCCCGAGCGUUGUCCGGAUUUAUUGGGCGUAAAGCGAGCGCAGGCGGUUUGAUAAGUCUGAAGUUAAAGGCUGUGGCUCAACCAUAGUUCGCUUUGGAAACUGUCAAACUUGAGUGCAGAAGGGGAGAGUGGAAUUCCAUGUGUAGCGGUGAAAUGCGUAGAUAUAUGGAGGAACACCGGUGGCGAAAGCGGCUCUCUGGUCUGUAACUGACGCUGAGACUCGAAAGCGUGGGGAGCGAACAGGAUUAGAUACCCUGGUAGUCCACGCCGUAAACGAUGAGUGCUAGGUGUUGGAGGGUUUCCGCCCUUCAGUGCCGGAGCUAACGCAUUAAGCACUCCGCCUGGGGAGUACGACCGCAAGGUUG